UACGUAGGGUGCGAGCGUUGUCCGGAAUUAUUGGGCGUAAAGCGCGCGCAGGUGGCUAUGUAAGUCUGAUGUUAAAGCCCGAGGCUCAACCUCGGUUCGCAUUGGAAACUGUGUAGCUUGAGUACAGGAGAGGAAAGUGGUAUUCCACGUGUAGCGGUGAAAUGCGUAGAGAUGUGGAGGAACACCAGUGGCGAAGGCGACUUUCUGGCCUGUAACUGACACUGAGGCGCGAAAGCGUGGGGAGCAAACAGG
rnacentral:rRNA from 1 species